GGCAAAAGUAGCUCCUGUUAACACCGAAGCCUAAUUUUCUUGGAAUUUUCCAACGGUGCUUUUUCGCAUGAAAAGUAAAUGAAAACUCUGAAUCAUGGACAGUCCGAAUGAAAGUGAACAUGAGUCAGUUGCAAUCAUUGAUUUUUUAAAAUCAAGAGGGUUGAACAAAGACUCAUUGCAUAAAAUAAAAGAUGAAAAGAUAGACUUUGCAACAUUUAUCGAUUUAAGCGACGAGCAACUAAAAACAAUCAUUCCUGUGACUCUUGGUGACUUGCAAUGCUACAAAAAGAUUUUGUUCUGAUGCAUUAAAAAAAAAUAAACAAAAAGCAAGAUGUACAUCACUGAUCCAAAAAUGGAAGAGGAAAACAAAAGCCGCAAUGAAACUGAAAACGGACAAAUCUGACAGUACGACAGGGAGUGACGAUGAUGGCCAACCCGAUCGUCGACGUAUAAAAUUAGUUGGAAAUCAAAAUGCUUCAAAGAUGGAGAGGAAAAUAGAACUAGGAUGGUUUGAUUAUGAUUUAAGAGUAUGGAGUAUCAUCAGGUGAAAACAUUAAUCAAAGGAGGUGGUACAAGAGGUGUAAGUGCUCUUAAAACAUGGAAACCCAAGGAUAUUCUAGAACAUGGGAAAAAAAUCUUCUUUCCAAAAGGUGUUUCUA